AGACGGAGGGUGCAAGCGUUGUUCGGAUUUACUGGGCGUAAAGGGCGCGUAGGCGGAAUAGUAAGUCAGGGGUGAAAAUUCUGAGCUUAACUCAGUACCUGCCCUUGAUACUGCUAUUCUUGGGUUCGAGAGGGGAAAGUGGAAUUCCCGGUGUAGCGGUGAAAUGCGUAGAUAUCGGGAAGAACACCAGUAGCGAAGGCGGCUUUCUGGCUCGUAACUGACGCUGAGGCGCGAAAGCGUGGGGAGCAAACAGGAUUAGAAACCCCAGUAGUCC
rnacentral:rRNA from 1 species